GAGGUUUUAUGUUAUUAAGUUAAACAUUAGAGUUUUGUAGUAUUUACUGUUAUAUGCUCAUAAAUUGAGGUACCAUAAGCAUUUAAACAUUUUUUUGGACGAAAAUAGAAAAAAUAAUAAACUAGAAGAAAUAUCAUUUGACAGAAUCAUCUCUAGGAAUUUUUCGAGUGAUUCAAUCCGAAUAACCCAAAUCUGUAGCAAAACUGACGAGCUGCCUAUACUUCAACGACAGAUGCAUCAUCUGUCACACAACACAAGGAUUCAGAAAACCUUUACUAUCCUUUAGCUUGAUAGUAAAGGUUUUUUCUCUAAAUGUUUUUUAGCUAACCUUAGUUGAGGUUUAACAAUAACAUAAUUAACUACUACUAUGAACUCAACAAAUAGCUCAAUGUUUAAAAGUUGGGAUUAAAGACUCU
rnacentral:misc_RNA from 1 species